UCUGUACAUACAGAGAAAGCCACCAUAUGUGGAAGGCUCAGUAUUGCUUGUAGUUCAGGUGCUGGGGUUCCAGGUGUGUGUCACCACACCUGGCUCUGUGACUACUUUUAGUCUAGCUGCAUAUUUAUAUUUAAAGUACUCUUCUCGCUAGCAAACUGUUACAAGUCCAAUAGUUGAAAAUUAGUUAAGUAAAUUAGUUUUGCCCAGAAAAAAAAAAAUCUAAGCGGCCAUUUAAACUAUACACAAAUGGAUGUGGUGACCAGGCCCAUAAACCCCAAAGGCUGAGGCAGUAGGAUGGUGAGUUAACAGGCUAGCCUAGGUCACAUGAUGAGUGCUUGUCUCAAACAUCCAAAAUAAAAAGAAUCCCACAGUGGUUCUCUUAGUGAGAACGUAGAGAUGCCACACUUUUGUCUAUCUUAUGAGGUCCUUUUUAAAAUCAGAACUUAGGUCAGUGCCAACAACUUCCUUCCGUGGUGCAAAUGCCUCCUAUAUGUGCUGGCAGCACAGCAGCGAUUAGCUGUGUGUAACUGCAGUUAUUAAGUGGCCCCGAGAGACCGUGUGACGGAAGGUUUCAUCUUUAAGGUUAGGCAGACUUACGUGUGAGGGGCUACCAUUUUGGUUACUCCAGCUGUUGCUAGCAUUUAGCACAACGUUUGCUGUGGACGGAUGGAAGUCUACCAUUUUGAUGUUGCCACUCUUUGUCUCACUUUGUUUGAACUUUUAUUCUCUUCUCAUACAAUGGAUUCUAACCAAGCCUUCUUCUCCUUCCACUCCUCCCAGUCCCUCCUUACCUCUUCUCUCCCCCAGAUCAACUCCUUCUGUUUCUCUUUUUUAAAAAAGGCAGCGAAACCUUCCCUUCCAUUUGUAGGCAGUCGUAAUGUAUGUGCAGGGGACCUAGGUCAGGCCCAUACAGGGUCUGUGUUUGUUGCUUUGGGUUUCUAUGAGCCCCUGUGAGCCCUGCUUAGUUGAUUCUGGGGCAGACCCAGGAUAGAACCAAAUAUGACAGGCAAGAAAGUAAAUUAAAUUAAAGUCAUUGAAAUGAUGCCCGAUGGGAUUCUGCUAUACUCACAGAGUGACAUCUAACCCAGUGGCCAUCAGUGGGACAACAUCCAGAAGCCGAUGGGAGCAGAUACAGGGACCCACAGCCAAACACUCUUUGUCUCUGGUCUGUCUGUCUUUUGGGUGACCAUGUUAAUUUUUAUAAUACCGUGAAGAAUCUGUAUGAUGAUAGCUGGCUACCCACUGACAGCACAAUGAGAUUGUUUACAGCCAACAAUUAAUAGGGAGAAAACAGGCCAUGUCAGGAAAGAGUUAAUGUAGAAGAGAA
rnacentral:lncRNA from 1 species